rnacentral:rRNA from 1 species
UUGAAAGGGAAACGAUUGAAGUCAGUCGUACCUAUGGGUAAUCAGCCUUUUGGGUGUGAUUUUGUGGAGCGUGAGGAGUUAAACGCCUUCAUGCCUGCAUAUUCGUGCACUUUGGGUGUACUUGCCCGUGUGUAAGUUAACAUCAAUUUUGGUGGUCAUAAAAUGGCUGGAGGAAUGUAGCUUCGAUCUUGCAUUGAAGUGUUAUAGCCUUCGGUAGAUGUGACGAUCGGGAUUGAGGAUUGCAACGGAUACCCUUCGGGGCUACCUGUCUGAUCUCUGAUUGUUGCUCUGGUGCCGAAAGCUUGCUUACGGUUAUCAAAGUCGAUUGUCAAUAGGUUAGAACGGGUUAAAUUCGUUAAGGAUGUUGACGUA